rnacentral:rRNA from 1 species
CACUGACAUUAGACUACCCCGUAGUCCCAGCCGUAAACUAUGCGCGUUAGGUGUACUGGUGACCACGAGUCGCCGGGUGCCGAAGGGAAACCGUGAAACGUGCCGCCUGGGAAGUACGGUCGCAAGGCUGAAACUUAAAGGAAUUGGCGGGGAGCACCACAACGGGUGGAGCCUGCGGUUUAAUUGGACUCAACGCCGGAAAUCUCACCGGAUAGGACAGACAUAUGAUAGUCGGGCUGAAGACUCUACUUGAUGAUCUG